GAUGAACGCUGGCGGCGUGCCUAAUACAUGCAAGUCGAGCGGAUGGAUUGAGAGCUUGCUCUUAUGAAGUUAGCGGCGGACGGGUGAGUAACACGUGGGUAACCUGCCCAUAAGACUGGGAUAACUCCGGGAAACCGGGGCUAAUACCGGAUAACAUUUUGAACCGCAUGGUUCGAAAUUGAAAGGCGGCUUCGGCUGUCACUUAUGGAUGGACCCGCGUCGCAUUAGCUAGUUGGUGAGGUAACGGCUCACCAAGGCAACGAUGCGUAGCCGACCUGAGAGGGUGAUCGGCCACACUGGGACUGAGACACGGCCCAGACUCCUACGGGAGGCAGCAGUAGGGAAUCUUCCGCAAUGGACGAAAGUCUGACGGAGCAACGCCGCGUGAGUGAUGAAGGCUUUCGGGUCGUAAAACUCUGUUGUUAGGGAAGAGCAAGUGCUAGUUGAAUAAGCUGGCACCUUGACGGUACCUAACCAGAAAGCCACGGCUAACUACGUGCCAGCCGCCGCAGUAA
rnacentral:rRNA from 1 species